CUGAACCGCCGUAUAGGCGGCUUAGAAA
rfam:Pragia fontium strain 24613, complete genome.